GAGUUUGAUCCUGGCUCAGGAUGAACGCUGGCGGCGUGCUUAACACAUGCAAGUCGAACGAACCUUCGGGUUAGUGGCGGACGGGUGAGUAACGCGUGGGAAUCUGCCCUCAGGAGGGGGAUAACGGCUGGAAACGGCCGCUAAUACCCCAUAUGCCGAGAGGUGAAAUGAAUUUCGCCUGAGGAUGAGCCCGCGUCUGAUUAGCUAGUUGGUGAGGUAAGAGCUCACCAAGGCAUCGAUCAGUAGCUGGUCUGAGAGGAUGAUCAGCCACACUGGGACUGAGACACGGCCCAGACUCCUACGGGAGGCAGCAGUGGGGAAUUUUCCGCAAUGGGCGAAAGCCUGACGGAGCAACGCCGCGUGAGGGAUGAAGGCCUCUGGGCUGUAAACCUCUUUUCUCAAGGAAGAAGAUCUGACGGUACUUGAGGAAUAAGCCACGGCUAAUUCCGUGCCAGCAGCCGCGGUAAUACGGGAGUGGCAAGCGUUAUCCGGAAUUAUUGGGCGUAAAGCGUCCGCAGGCGGCCCUUCAAGUCUGCUGUUAAAAAGUGGAGCUUAACUCCAUCAUGGCAGUGGAAACUGUUGGGCUUGAGUGUGGUAGGGGCAGAGGGAAUUCCCGGUGUAGCGGUGAAAUGCGUAGAUAUCGGGAAGAACACCAGUGGCGAAGGCGCUCUGCUGGGCCAUAACUGACGCUCAUGGACGAAAGCCAGGGGAGCGAAAGGGAUUAGAUACCCCUGUAGCCCUGGCCGUAAACGAUGAACACUAGGUGUCGGGGGAAUCGACCCCCUCGGUGUCGUAGCCAACGCGUUAAGUGUUCCGCCUGGGGAGUACGCACGCAAGUGUGAAACUCAAAGGAAUUGACGGGGGCCCGCACAAGCGGUGGAGUAUGUGGUUUAAUUCGAUGCAACGCGAAGAACCUUACCAGGGUUUGACAUCCUGCGAACCUCUUGGAAACGAGAGGGUGCCUUCGGGAACGCAGUGACAGGUGGUGCAUGGCUGUCGUCAGCUCGUGUCGUGAGAUGUUGGGUUAAGUCCCGCAACGAGCGCAACCCACGUCUUUAGUUGCCAGCAUUUAGUUGGGCACUCUAGAGAGACCGCCGGUGAUAAACCGGAGGAAGGUGUGGAUGACGUCAAGUCAUCAUGCCCCUUACAUCCUGGGCUACACACGUACUACAAUGCUACGGACAAAGAGCAGCAAGUUCGCGAGGACAAGCAAAUCUCAUAAACCGUGGCUCAGUUCAGAUCGUAGGCUGCAACUCGCCUACGUGAAGGAGGAAUCGCUAGUAAUCGCAGGUCAGCAUACUGCGGUGAAUACGUUCCCGGGCCUUGUACACACCGCCCGUCACACCAUGGAAGUUGGCCACGCCCGAAGCCGUUACUCCAACCCUCGGGAGGAGGACGUCGAAGGUGGGGCUGAUGACUGGGGUGAAGUCGUAACAAGGUAACCGUA
rnacentral:rRNA from 1 species